rnacentral:rRNA from 1 species
GAAAUGCGAUACUUGGUGUGAAUUGCAGGAUCCCGCGAACCACCGAGUCUUUGAACGCAAGUUGCGCCCGGAGCCUUCUGGCCGAGGGCACGUCUGCCUGGGCGUC